UGGUGGAGUGAUUUGUCUGGUUAAUUCCGUUAACGAACGAGACCUCGACCUGCUAAAUAGUUUGGCGAAUUCUUCGGGAUACGUACAUAACUUCUUAGAGGGACUAUCGGUGUGUAGCCGAUGGAAGUUCGAGGCAAUAACA
rnacentral:rRNA from 1 species